rnacentral:tRNA from 1 species
CAAAAAAGCCGGAAUAGCUCAGUUGGUAGAGCAGAG